AUUAAAUUUUUUUCCAAGUAAAAACGAGUUGUUUUUAAAGCGUGACCCUCGAGCAUCAUUUGCAUAUCUCGGUGCGCCAUCAGUUGUUUCAUUAGCAUCAACACAUUUUCCUUUAUCGCAAAUUGCAUAUUCUGCUAAACCAUCACCAUAUUUUCUAAUUACUUGACUUGAGUGAAUCCAACAUAAAUUGGUCAUUGAAGUUUUUUUUUCGACAUCUUACAUUUUUUAAGAAUUAUCAUCAUUAUCAUCUGAUUUCCAAUCUUGAAUUAAUUGUUGAAAUAAGAAAGGUGA